CCUCCCGUAGUUCAACGGAUAGAAUGCAAGCUUGCGGAGCUUGUGAUGUAGGUUCGAUUCCUGCCGGGAGGA
rnacentral:tRNA from 1 species